UACGUAGGGUGCGAGCGUUAAUCGGAAUUACUGGGCGUAAAGCGUGCGCAGGCGGUUUUGUAAGCCUGAUGUGAAAUCCCCGGGCUUAACCUGGGAAUGGCAUUUGGGACUGCAAGGCUGGAGUGUGGCAGAGGAGACUGGAAUUCCUGGUGUAGCAGUGAAAUGCGUAGAUAUCAGGAGGAACACCGGUGGCGAAGGCGGGUCUCUGGGCCGAAACUGACGCUGAGGAGCGAAAGCGUGGGGAGCAAACAGG
rnacentral:rRNA from 1 species